GUGACUCUGCGCCGAAAAUGUAACGGGGCUAAACGAUUCACCGAAGCUGUGGAUGCCGCCACAUUCACUCUGUCUUUCAUUGAUCGUCGGCGAAUGACAUUCGCCGAAAACAUCUUUCCGGUUCAAUCCGAUGUUUUCGGCUAAAUGCCAUAGCGAAACGAUGUGUGUGGAAGCUGGAGUGAAUGCGGUGGCAUGGUAGGGGAGCGUUCCAAGCAGCAGCGAAGCUGCUUCGUGAGAAGUGGUGGAGCGCUUGGAAGUGAGAAUGCCGGUAUGAGUAGCGAAAAGAGG
rnacentral:rRNA from 1 species